rnacentral:rRNA from 1 species
ACUGAACGCUGGCGGCAUGCUUUACACAUGCAAGUCGAACGGCAGCACGGGUGCUUGCACCUGGUGGCGAGUGGCGAACGGGUGAGUAAUGCACCGGAACGUAUCCAAUAAUGGGGGAUAACGCAGCGAAAGCUGUGCUAAUUCCGCAUACGCCCUGAGGGGGAAAGCGGGGGAUCGCAAGACCUCGCGUUAAUGGAGCGGCCGAUGCCGGAUUAGCUAGUUGGUGGGGUAAAGGCUCACCAAGGCGACGAUCCGUAGCUGGUCUGAGAGGACGACCAGCCACACUGGGACUGAGACACGGCCCAGACUCCUACGGGAGGCAGCAGUGGGGAAUUUUGGACAAUGGGCGCAAGCCUGAUCCAGCCAUGCCGCGUGAGUGAAGAAGGCCUUCGGGUUGUAAAGCUCUUUCGCAAGGAAAGAAAACUUAGCCACUAAUACUGGCUGAGGAUGACGGUACCUUGAUAAGAAGCACCGGCUAACUACGUGCCAGCCGCCGCAGUAAUAC